rnacentral:lncRNA from 7 species
GACAAAGUUGGAAGUACAAGGCAGAGUUAUAGAAGCUCUUUAAACAGUCUAAGUCAAAGGUUAAUUGUCAGGUUAAUUGGGUCCUGUUAUGGACCCAAAGAGCAAGGAGUGUGAGAAGCAGAAGUGGCAGGAGGAAAUCUGUGCCAAGAGAAUACUACAUGACACCAUCACUCCUCCUGUGAGGAAAAAUCCCGGGAUUCCUUGCCAUUUGGAGAGAGUAGAUGGUCUGGUCUUAGUAAGUCUAUCAGCCAAGCUGGAGAAAGUGGGCUGAGCAAAUUCCCAUUUGCAAGAGGAAGCAAUGGGAAGAGCUCCAGUGAAGUUGUGUAGACAGAAGGAUAGAAAUGAGACCAUCAGGAAUCAUCCUUCUAUGGGUCUGAAACAGUUCCAGCUGAAGAUAAAGUGGAAAUCAAGGUCCAUCAUGGCACAUUCAUCCUUUUAUCCUUCCACAAGUACCUUGGAAAAGACUGCUGGAAGCAGAGGGAGGAGAAAAUGAAUGCCGGGUGGGCUUAUUAAUCUAGCUUCUGGCAGUCAGUUGUUCAAGGUAUUUCUUGACUGGAGAUUACCUUCAGGCAGUUGCAUAGGACCCAGUAGACCUAUCCUAAGCUCCAACUGAUUUCCUUCCUACUUUUGUUUGCCAUGAUUUCCAAAGCAAUUUGUACCAAAGGUAUGCAUACUACAGCUUUCUAAAAAUCUCAUCACUACUGUCUAUUUUAAGUGAAAGUUUCAUGUCCUUUUUGUUAUAACGAAUAGUGUCCAUUCCUUUGGCCAGAGCCUUUUUCAUGUCUAUUCAGAUUUUAUGAAUCACCCACUACAGUCCUCUGUGAUCGCCUUUUAUUUGCAGAAGAGACUCAGAUAUUUAAUCUCUUAUUUUAGAGAACCCAUCCUCUGCCUUUUUUUCCAUUUUGCUUAUCUCAGACAAGGGGACCAGGACUGGACUUAGUAUUCACAAUACAGAUACGCAAUUGGGAAUUUAUGCUGUUCGAUAAUCAUAUUUCACUGUACUUUCAGUUCCUUUCCAACUCAUGUUACUAUAGCAAUGAUAUUGUUGCCAACAACACUGAGGUUGAUCUUAAGAUUGAAACCAGGGAAUUUAUUGAAGUAUACUGUCUAUGCAAAAACCUUGACUUCUAAAAGCUUCCCAGGAUGUAUUUGCAUUUCAGAAUGCUUCUAGAUGUUGACCUUCUGGUUUCAUCAUCCAGGAUCUGAAAAGCAAUACGUGAUCCAGAAAACACAAUUGUGCAUGUGUAGGUAGUGUAAUCUCAUAUGCAUUAUGUCUUGUCUAUUGGUAUUGAAUGUCAUCUACUAAUUUUGCGCUUUAUUACUAAGGAGUGUGCAUAGCUUAACCAAACAUGAAGCCAGUUGCCAGAAGCUGCUCUGAAGAAUGCCAAAUAAUAUUAUCCAAACU